rnacentral:rRNA from 1 species
GUAACCUGCCUGUAAGACUGGGAUAACUCCGGGAAACCGGGGCUAUACCGGAUAACUUUUCUCUUCGCAUGAAGAGAAAUUGAAAGGUGGCUUUUAGCUACCACUUACAGAUGGACCCGCGGCGCAUUAGCUAGUUGGUGAGGUAACGGCUCACCAAGGCGACGAUGCGUAGCCGACUUGAGAGGGUGAUCGGCCACACUGGGACUGAGACACGGCCCAGACUCCUACGGGAGGCAGCAGUAGGGAAUCUUCCGCAAUGGACGAAAGUCUGACGGAGCAACGCCGCGUGAGUGAUGAAGGUUUUCGGAUCGUAAAACUCUGUUGUUAGGGAAGAACAAGUAUCGUUCGAAUAGGGCGGUACCUUGACGGUACCUAACCAGAAAGCCACGGCUAACUACGUGCCAGCAGCCGCGGUAAUACGUAGGUGGCAAGCGUUGUCCGGAAUUAUUGGGCGUAAAGCGCGCGCAGGCGGUUUCUUAAGUCUGAUGUGAAAGCCCACGGCUCAACCGUGGAGGGUCAUUGGAAACUG